rnacentral:sRNA from 1 species
AGUAUCACGGCUACUACGUGAAGCUGAACGCCCCCCAGCACCCUCCAGUAGACGUGGAGGACGGCGAUGGAUCCAGCCAGUCUUCCUCAGCACUGGUGCACAAGCCAUCCGCUAACAAGUGGAGUCCCUCCAAAUCUGUGACAAAACCAGUUGCCAAAGAAAGCAAAGCUGAGCCAAAAGCUAAGAAGUCUGAACUUGCUAUACCAAAGAAUCCAGCAAGCAACGAUUCAUGCCCUGCUUUAGAAAAAGAAGCCAAUUCAGGCCCUAAUUCAAUCAUGAUUGUCCUUGUCAUGCUGUUGAAUAUCGGGUUGGCCAUUCUUUUUGUUCACUUUCUAACUUGAUUGGAAUUAGGAAAGCCCACAGUUCUCUGCAGUGGUGCCGUCAGCCCUUUAAAUGGCCCACCCCAGGCAGACUCAGACACAGGGAAGGAGGCUUGGAAUUAGGAUGGGAUCGCGAGAGAGAUGAAACUUGGAAAAUUCAGCCAGAGGACCUGUUCGGUUCCCCUGGGAGUGCUUUGUGGCUUUGGGGUCCUCUGGGAGCUGAAGCACACGGCCAUGUCG